rnacentral:tRNA from 1 species
GGGAGGUAGCUCAGUUGGGAAAGCCCUUGCCUUGAAAGCAUGAGGAGCUGGGUUCGAGCCCCAGAACCCA